GUCCCUUCCAAGACAUUCGAUAAAAUUGGAAUGAUACAUAUACGAUUAGUAUGGCCCUUAAGCAUGGAUGACGCGUAUAAAUCGAGAAAGAGUGUUGCUAAAUAUAU
rnacentral:snRNA from 1 species